rnacentral:tRNA from 1 species
GUAUAUAUAUUAUAAUUUUUAUUAUAUCUAAUUUGCAUUUAGAAGAUUUUUAUAUACU